GAUGAAGAACGUAGUGAAAUGCGAUAAGUAAUGUGAAUUGCAGAAUUCAGUGAAUCAUCGAAUCUUUGAACGCACAUUGCGCCCCCUGGUAUUCCGGGGGGCAUGCCUGUUCGAGCGUCAUUUCACCACUCAAGCCUCGCUUGGUAUUGGGCAACGCGGUCCGCCGCGUGCCUCAAAUCGACCGGCUGGGUCUUCUGUCCCCUAAGCGUUGUGGAAACUAUUCGCUAAAGGGUGCUCGGGAGGCUACGCCGUAAAACAAACCCAUUUCUAAGGUUGACCUCGGAGCAGGUAGGGAUACCCGCUGAACUUAAGCAUAUCAAUAAGCGGAGGA
rnacentral:misc_RNA from 1 species